rnacentral:rRNA from 1 species
CUAGCGACUUCAGAGUUUGAUCCUGGCUCAGGAUGAACGCUAGCGGCAGGCUUAACACAUGCAAGUCGAGGGGCAGCGGGAUGUAGCAAUACAUUGCCGGCGACCGGCGCAAGGGUGCGUAACGCGUGAGCAACAUGCCCGUCACAGGAGGAUGAACCAUGGAAACGUGGCCUAAUACUCCAUAGUAUGUUUUGGAGGCAUCUCUAUGACAUUAAAGCUUCGGUGGUGACGGAUUGGCUCGCGUGACAUUAGCUAGAUGGAGAGGUAACGGCUCACCAUGGCGACGAUGUCUAGGGGAACUGAGAGGUUAAUCCCCCACACUGGUACUGAGACACGGACCAG